UACGUAGGGGCUAGCGUUGUCCGGAAUCAUUGGGCGUAAAGCGCGCGUAGGCGGCCAGAUAAGUCCGGUGUGAAAGCCACAGGCUCAACCUGUGAAUGCCGCUGGAAACUGUCUGGCUAGAGUCCGGGAGGGGCGAGUGGAAUUCCGUGGUGUAGCGGUGAAAUGCGCAGAUAUCAGGAGGAACACCAAUGGCGAAGGCAGCUCGCUGGAACGGAACUGACGCUGAGGCGCGAAAGCGUGGGGAGCGAACAGG
rnacentral:rRNA from 1 species